UACGGAGGGUGCAAGCGUUAUUCGGAAUUACUGGGCGUAAAGGGCGCGCAGGUGGUUGCGUAAGUCAGAUGUGAAAGCCCCGGGCUCAACCUGGGAAUUGCAUUUGAGACUGCGUAGCUAGGGUGCGGAAGAGGGAAGCGGAAUUUCCGGUGUAGCGGUGAAAUGCGUAGAUAUCGGAAGGAACACCAGUGGCGAAAGCGGCUUCCUGGUCCAGCACUGACACUCAAGCACGAAAGCGUGGGGAGCAAACAGG
rnacentral:rRNA from 1 species